GGGAUAUAGCUCAGUGGUAUAGCAAGUGCUUAACAUGCAUGAGGAACCUGGGUUCAAUCUCCAGCGUGCCA
rnacentral:tRNA from 1 species